GGGCCUGCAACUUGAUUAGGUCUUUCUUGAUGAGGAUGAUGUGUCUAGAAACGCCUACACAUAAUGGGUUUUUCAGACGCACUUUAAAACAUUCUUCCUCCUCUGGCAUGAUGUCAUCCAGGAUAUUGACUGCUAUCACAGCUUCCACAUCCCCAGGCUCAAAUAUCAAUUCACCUGAACUAGCAUACAAAAACCCACAUCAAUACUAUAAACAAAAUCUUACCUAAACCUGAAGGAGGAAUGAAAACAUGGAUGUUUCUUACAGCAGAGACUGGAAGAGACUGAAAGUGUCUGAAGGUAGACUGCCCUGUCUCCCAGAUGAAAAUUUCAGAAUUUACAGUUUCUACAAAAGGGAAGAAUUACAAAAGCUACAUUAUAUUGCUGCCUGUUAAUUAAAUCACACACUG